UACGUAGGGGGCGAGCGUUGUCCGGAUUUAUUGGGCGUAAAGAGCGUGUAGGCGGUUCGGUAAGUCUGUCGUGAAAUCCUGAGGCUCAACCUCGGGCGUGCGAUGGAUACUGCCGGGCUAGAGGGUGGUAGAGGCGAGUGGAAUUCCCGGUGUAGCGGUGAAAUGCGCAGAUAUCGGGAGGAACACCGGUGGCGAAGGCGGCAUCCUGGACCGGCAUUGACGCUGAGGAGCGAAAGCCAGGGGAGCAAACGGG
rnacentral:rRNA from 1 species